GUAUUGUAUUGCGUUAAACGCAGGCAAACAUUCCAUAAGACUUUGCUACGGUGUGUGUGUAGAGACGUAGAACUACAGGAGGAAGACGGUGCGCCUCCCAGACCAUAGAACUACAGAGGGUGCACAGGUGUGAGUGGAUGUGUGAACAGAGCGUGCACAUGCCCUCGUUUGAGGACCAGCAACAACUCGUGUCGACAACUCAGUAAUGAUCCUUCCGCAGGUUCACCUACGGAAA
rnacentral:misc_RNA from 1 species